rnacentral:rRNA from 1 species
AGGACGAACGCUGGCGGCGUGCUUAACACAUGCAAGUGGAGCGACGAACCAGGCUUCGGCCUGGGGCAGAGCCGCGAACGGGUGAGUAACACGUGGGUAACGUGCCCCGAUGACUGGGACAACCCGGGGAAACCCGGGCUAAUACCGGAUAUGCCCCCUCACGCGAGUGAGGUGUGUAAAGGAAGCUUCGGCCUCCGCAUCGGGAUCGGCCCGCGGCCCAUUAGCUUGUUGGUGAGGUAACGGCUCACCAAGGCUGCGAUGGGUAGCGUGGUCUGAGAGGACGAUCAGCCACACGUGGGACUGAGACACGGCCCAGACUCCGUACGGGAGGCAGCAGGUAGGGGAAUAGUUGACACAAGUGGGCGCAAGCCUGAUGCAGCGACGCCGCGUGAGGGAUCGGACGGCCGUUCGGUUAGUUAACCUUACUUCG